CCUUCCCCAAACCUCGCGUUCUUCUUCUCCCCAUCGAGCGUCGCCGCCGCCGUCGCGUCUACGAUCUCUCCCACAGGCACGACUCACUGCCCUCCCCUGGUCGCUGCAACUCGCACCUCACCUCAAUCGCCACCAGCCUCCCCCUCCACUACAUCGCCUCGACCUCCAACGCCCAAUGCUCGCCCUUCGCUAGAUCGGCGCUGCACGAUGUGUGGGAUGCAAGAGUCCGGCUGCAGCUGCGUGGCCACGACAAGGCUCGCACGGCGCGUGUGCAGCAGCUCGCAAACAGCAGUGGCUCGACAGGAGCGGCGAUGGGCUGCAGGGCUGCGGCGAUGGCGGUCGUCCGGCAUAUGGAGCGGCUCUAACAGGCAGGGUGCUGAGCUACAGCUGCUGAGCGCGAGUAGGGCUCGGCAGAGCGCAUAAAUCCAGCGCAUCAUGGCCGGCCCAGCGGGGCAACGAUGUACGAUGUACGCGAAGGUGGUGGUUCAUCGAUGUGCGUACGUAUCCUUACAAGAUCAACGGGAUAGGAUGCUGUGGUAACUUCAUUGAUGCAAAUCUAAAUUUUCAAAACACGUCAACAAAAAUUGUGUGAUACAGCAUGAUGUUCUUCCUGUUCUACAGGUUCAUUCUAAUGAUUCUUAUUUGCGUUCGGUAACAGGAUUGUUCUCUCCAGCUGUUCGAUUUGCACAUGCGACAAUCGAAGUGUGCCUAUGUUUGGCCGGCCCUGGCUGCCCGGUUCACAGAUAUACAGAUGAACAAAAACCAUUCAGGUUCUGCAUCCACCCAUCAGGUUCUCUAUUAUACUGCAGGAGGAAAUCCUUUCUUAAUUCUUAUUGACCCUUCAAGCGGGAGGCUUUUAGAGGCAGCUUUCGUGCUUUUCCCUUUCCGCUGGAACUGCAUGCAGAGUCUGAGUUCAUGGAGUGCCUUUGGCCUUUAGAAAGAAGAAGAAUAAAUGUUUCGCCGUUGAUCUUUCUUAUGUUCCUAGGUGCAUUGUUUUAGGUUAUGCCCUCAUAUGCAGAGAUGGAAAAUCACACAUUUUGCAUCCAGCUUUCAAUGGGAAUAAAUUGAAUUUUGUUUCGAAGCUUGCCGAUGAAUCAAGAAUAUAUCUUCGAAAGCUGCUUGUUUGUUGCAAGAAAAAAGAGAUCUGAUUUAAGCAUCAUUGUACUUCAAAACCUACACAGUAUUUAUUUCUGCAUUCAUUUGAAGAUGAGAAUAUACUGAGUUCAAUUUCGAGUGUCGAUCCAUUGUUUUUCUGCAGGUAAGUAUUAUUUUUUAUUUCCUAAAAAGGAUUUGAAUAUCAUUUGAUCUGUUAUUGAUUGAGGAUCAGCAUCUUGUACAGUAUGAUUUUAUUGUUUCUCCUUUUUUUAGCUCAGUCCUAAAAUGUACACUAUGAUUUUAUGGAGUGCAUUAUGCCAAUGGAUUACUGCAUUUUUAUGUUAGUUUUUAGACUAUUUGAAUGUAAGGACUCUACAGAAUCUCUUUGACAAUCUACUGCAAAUCAUUUCCUGCACAGAAAAUUCAGUACAUGCUUCUAUGAAUAUCUGCAAUACAAGAUUUGUUCUUAUAUGUUGGCCUGCCGAUGGGUAUUGGCAGCCUUGCAUGCAUGUUUUUAAAAUACUUAAUCCAAGCGCCACUUCUGUAGUAAAUAAGCUGAACUUUUAUUUAAAUAACUAAAUGUUGGUUUGCCGAAGUUUUCUUGUGACUGAAUUAUGGAACUUCCAUUGUGCAGUUUUUACAUAUGGUCAUGCAGUCAUUUUGGCUAUUUAUGUAACAAUACAUUGUCCAGUUUGCAAGACGUUCUGUCUAUAGGUUCUUCUGUACUUAUCUUGUGUUUAACAGGUUUGACUGUUGUUCCUCUACUAUACAACUUCAUCUUUUAGUAUCGACCAAUACUUCAUAGUCAGUACAUGGUUCUUCAAUACUGUGGUAACAAUUGAGGGGAAUAUUAUGAUUCUCUAGGCUUUAUGUUAUCUUACCAUACUAUCCAAUAAAAAUGAUUCUCUUCUUCAAUACCUGUCUAACCACCUCUGAUAUGUUAUUUGUUGGCUUAGCCUGUACUCUAGAGAGGUGUCGAGUUGUGAUGCAAGGUUUUGCCAUGUUGAUUAAAAGAUAUCGACAUCGAAGACUAUAUACUCGGAUCGCAUGGCAUGUUUAGGAACCAUGGCUCUACUACUACUACACAUCCACUUGCCAUUGUAGUCAUCAACUGAAAUUUAGUCAAAAUCGAUAUUUGUAAGUUGAAAAUUUCUUUUUGGCGGGCUAAAAGGACAGAAGUUUUGAGUGGGAACAGAUUGUUGUUAUUUAAGGCCAAUUAUUGUUGUUGAGUCACUUCCUCUUUCUCUUGCUGGUAUGCGGUUAUCCAUAUGAUAGCUGGUAUUGAAAAUGCAACUACCUAACCCAAGCUCAGCAAGCAUUAACUAAUUUUUGUCUUCAUA